ACGUAGAACAGUGUGGGACAACCCAAGAUAUAACGAUGGAGGAUUCUCUAUGGCCAUCAAGAGGUGAACCACUUGAUAUUCGUAGUGGACAGUGCGAUCGCGAUAUCGUUCGUCUCUUGACAAACUGGAAGAGAAAAAUAACGAUGUGCAAUUUGCAUGGGGACACUGGACGGAUAACGAUGACCCGGCCGAGCCGAUCGAUUCCUCUUCUCGCGCUUGUGUUUUCCGUCUGUCCUGGCCAGACCGAGUGGUUCAUUUUUAACCGAGCCGAUGGGACUUACCAGGAAUGCUGGUGCCAAGAGCAACGAAUGCGACAGCGGUGACAGAAUCCUUG